ACAAAAACAAACAGAGAGAAAUACAGAAAGAGAGACCUGAAGGAUUGACGGCGAAAACGAGGUCAGGUCGGCGAGAGGAGGAAGACCCACUUGUGGAAACAGAGGGCUCAGCAAAGAGAUCAGGGGCUUUGGGAAGCUCGGCUCUGACAUGAUGGUUUUGCCAUUGGAAGUCUCACUGUAGCUAUUCCGCAACCCAAUGCUAUCUGAUUAAUGCUACCCAUCUUGGUUUUCUUUAUGAGAGCUUCAGUCUUUGUGGGUUAACGAGUGAGGGAAGCCGUAUUGUUAGUAUGAGCUCAAGAUUGGGAAGACUAAAUGGCAAACAAAAUGAAGAGCACAUUGAAAUUGCCAAAGCCAAGAAAAAAGCAGGAGAAACAGAGUUGUGCUCAUAUGAGGAACAGCUUCAUGCUACGAUCAAAAGCUUGCAAUAUAUCAUACAACAAGAAUGCAUUCUGUUUAGAAAAACCUUAGAUCAAACAACUUGAAAACACACGUGGACGCAUUAUUGCUAAUGUUGCUGUACAAGCCAAGAUUCAAGAAUCAGUGGUUCAAAUAAACAAAGAGGUCUUUCAACACCAGGUUAAACAAGGAAAGAGCAAAAGUGUAAACUUCAAACAUCAAAGACAAGAUAAUGUUGACUAGCAAGAGACUCCAGUUGCAGAAUAGCCCAAUUGAAAUCGGAGAAGCUUAUUGAGGAAUUGCAUUUGCCUAAUCUACUAGGACCUAUCGAAAAGGAGGAAGGAGGAUAUCCAUUUGAUCAAGUGAGAAUCAACAUGAGGUUUUAUACUGCUGAGAUAGUAUCUGCUGUUUCACAUCCUCACAAGUGCGGGAUUGUGAAUAGUAAACUUAAGCUGGAAAAUGUUCUCAUGGAUGCUGAUGGGCACAAAUGGCUAUGCUCAUUCACUUGCUUCUGUUGCAACUAUUGCUGUGGAUGCCUUAUCAGUUUGCAUGAUUAUUAAUGGUUGGGACCUCAUGAUUCCUUUAGCCUUCGAGGAGUCUGUCAAAUAUUGAGGGAAAGCUCAACACCGGCAGAAAUGAUGGUUUGGCCAUUGAUCGUGGUAAUGAGGAGGAAGUGAUAGUUCUGAACUUCAUGAAGAAGUCAAGGAAGUGAUUCAUCUGAAGAUGAGGUUGCUACUCAAAAUGCAAUUGGUGAUGUUCCAUUGCAAUGGUAUCGGGAUGAGAAUCAUAUUGGUUAUGAUCUUACAGGGAAGAAGAUUAAAAAAAAGGAAAGUGAAGAGAAAUUCCAAUCCUUUCUUGCUAGAGCUGAUGAUUCCAAAAAUUGGUGGGUUUUACAUAGGGCUUAUGGUACAUAGGCUGAUGCAUACAUUCUAUUGUGUAGCAGCCGUCCAUUUUGGCCUCGGAACUGAGUUUGGCAUUGUAUUAGGUAACUUGCAUUCCCCGAGUAGAUAAAUCAGACCUUCAUAUCAUGUAACAAGCACAAUAGAGGCUCUAUAGAUAGUUUUGCAAAGGGAUUCUUUUUAGAUGAAGCUUACACAAAACUUGAGUGCUUAUCUGCUUUAGUAUAAUGCCCUUUUGUUUCCGUCAUUUGUUCGUUUAGAAAUUCGAACGCUAGCGAUCGCAUCUCUCUUGAAUUAAGGUAAAGAGAAGUCUGUCUGCACCAGUCUUUGUAAUCUCUAUAGUCAGAUGUGGUAUUAACAAACCCGCAGCAUCGCGCGCGGGGGUGU